AGAAGUGACUCACAAGAGACUACCUAUCGUGACUGUCAUUCCAACCUUUCCCAAAGAUGUCCAGAUGAAACUGGGUGCAAGAGAACCAUGUCACAGAGUCCCCAAACUCUGCAACAAAAUUAUCAGAGUGCUGUAUGAAAUGAUGGCAGAAUACACCCUGUAUCCAACCAAUACAGAGUACACUCAAGUUUCCAAGGCUCUGAUCAUGAAAUACCCUUUCCUGAGAGACAGGGAGGGAAAUGGCUAUCACACCUGGCACAUGUCUUUGAAGCGAAAAUUUAAAACGUGCACCACUUGUCAGUGACACUGAAGUUAGAAAGCUGAAGGAGAAGUUUGGCCAUGCAAAGCAGUCCAAGGUUACCAACAUCUCUUCAAAUGUCUCUCGUAAGCCGUCAAGUCAAUCAUUUGAAAUUUGUGUUGGGGAGGAUUCUGCAUCUGUUGAAGCCCAUGUUAACGUGCUACAGAGCGAGUAUCGGAAGAUGCGUCCAGAUAUGACCACUGUCAAAGACCGCAUGGCACGAACAUUCUCCUGGAGACGACGUGAGGUCAUGGAAGGGAUGCCAGUGGAGGAAGUACUCAACAAAUAUCCCUUCUUAAAGAUGCCUGCUAUGUGUAUUGAUGAGGUUGACAGAACUCACCCUUCAACAUUCGCCUUCAGUCAUCGCUUCAGAGAAGGCUUUGCCAGUGUCUUGCCAAAUGUACUUAAGCUUGCACAAGGGAAGUCUCCGCUGGCAAAACAGUACACUGAUGCAAGACAGGAUGCCCUGGCUGAAGAUCUACCAGGAAUCGACUUGAGGGCUGGUCUCAUCCUUUUUCCAUCCAUCUUCAGAGAAAAGAUCGAACACUACAUCACUGUGGGAGAGAGGGAUGCUGCUACACCCUAUCCAACCAUUCAACUGAUGGAUAACGACUGGAAAAUGGCAAUGACCAGUGCUGGGCCCAGUGUGGUGAAAGUAGAUGGUGUCCAUGUGUGCCAGUGCUUGGGUCUUGAUGAAGCCUUCAUAACAGCCCUCAGUAUGUACUUCGUUUUCAACAUUGCAUACCCACCACACCUGAAAAACACCCUGACCUUUCUUCAGAGGCGUAUUGUCAGCAUUGUGGAAGAAGGGGACAAGACUCUGCCAAUAACUGUACUCAGAAUCAUAAACCAACUGUGCUAGAUCAUCAUGCCUCAGUUAUACCAGUGCCCCAAGUGCAUGCGAAGGACCUUUACACUUGUUAAGUUUAUUCAGCAUGUUGGGUUAGUGAGUGGAUUUUGCUUAAACCUGGAGAUGAAAAAGACCAUACAUCACUUGACACGUACACUAUUGAUGACAAGUUGUAUGUUGGAUUUAGAUGUUCUGUAUAAAUACUUGUGCAAGUUUUGCAAGGCUUUAUGAAUGGAUUACUAGAGACAAACUCUGUCCGUCUUCAACAUUCUAGUAGUAACUCAUCUUCUGACUUCUGUUCAGUUCUAUAUAGCUUUUGGGUUGAAGACAAAUGUUUAAGAAUAUUGCCUUAAUGAAAUGCACUGCCAAUGAAAUGAACUGAUGGUUACAUUUUGAUCAAUAAAUGUAUUUUGUACAUUUUAA